UUCUUCAAAAUGGUUCUGACCCUAAAUGCAGAUUAUGCAACACAUUUGAUGAAAUAAUAGACCAUCUUGUUUCGGGAUAUCCUUUGCCGAGACCAAACGAAUACAAAAAUUGCCACGAUAGGGUAGGAUACCUUCAUCAGACAGUUGUUGAA